rnacentral:rRNA from 1 species
UUAAAUUGAAGAGUUUGAUCAUGGCUCAGAUUGAACGCUGGCGGCAGGCCUAACACAUGCAAGUCGAACGGUAACAGGGAGCAGCUUGCUGCUUCGCUGACGAGUGGCGGAAGG